ACUACUAGUAGUACAUACUUGUACUAGUACUACUAGUACUACAUGUACUAGUAGUAUUAGUACUAGUAUGUGCUAGCAGUACUAAUAGUAC
rnacentral:tRNA from 1 species